rnacentral:rRNA from 1 species
GAUGAACGCUGGCGGCGUGCCUAAAACAUGCAAGUCGAGCGGCAGCGAGUUCCUCGCUAAUGUUCGGAUUUGUUUACCAAUGAUGCAAGUAAUUUAGUCAGAGUAACAAAGUAACGACUAGUUGUUUAAGUUAAAAGGUAGAUUUAAUAUUCCGGAUAUGAGCGAGGAAUGUCGGCGAGCGGCGGACGGCUGAGUAGCGCGUAGGAACAUACCCCAAAGUGAGGCAUAACCGCCCGAAAGGGUGGCUAAUACCGCAUAUUGUCUUCGGAUGAAAGCUUUUAGCGCUUUGGGAAUGGCCUGCGUUUGAUUAGCUAGUUGGUGAGGUAAGGGCUUACCAAGGCGAUGAUCAAUAGCUGGUUUGAGAGAAUGAUCAGCCAGACUGGAACUGAGACACGGUCCAGACUCCUACGGGAGGCAGCAGUUGGGAAUUUUCCACAAUGGGCGAAAGCCUGAUGGAGCAACGCCGCGUGCAGGAAGAAUGCCUUCGGGUUGUAAACUGCUUUUAUGUGCGAAGAAUAUGACGGUAGCAUAUGAAUAAGGGUCGGCUAACUACGUGCCAGCAGCCGCGGUCAAACGUAGGACCCAAGCGUUAUCCGGAAUUACUGGGCGUAAAGAGUUGCGUAGGUGGUCUAUUAAGUGGAGCGUGAAAGCGUGUGGCUUAACCAUACAGCUGCGUUUUAAACUGAUAAACUAGAGUGCGAAAGAGGUAGAUGGAAUUCCCAGUGUAGGAGUGAAAUCCGUAGAUAUUGGGAGGAACACCGAUGGCGUAGGCAGUCUACUGGUUCGUUACUGACACUAAGGCACGAAAGCGUGGGGAGCGAACGGGAUUAGAUACCCCGGUAGUCCACGCCGUAAACGAUGGAUGCUAGUUUUUACCCAUAUCGACCUGGGUAGAAACGAAGUUAACGCGUUAAGCAUCCCGCCUGGGGAGUACGAGCGCAAGCUUAAAACUCAAAGGAAUUGACGGGGACCCGCACAAGCGGUGGAGCGUGUUGUUUAAUUCGAAGAUAAGCGAAGAACCUUACCAAGGCUUGACUUCCUGCGAAGGUUUCCGAAAGGAAAUUGUGCCUUUUAGGAGCGCAGUGACAGGUGCUGCAUGGCCGUCGUCAGCUCGUGUCGUGAGAUGUAUGGUUAAGUCCAUUAACGAGCGCAACCCUUAUGAUUAGUUGGAUUUUUCUAAUCAGACUGCCCUGGCAACAGGGAGGAAGGAGGGGAUGAUGUCAGGUCAGUAUUGCCCUUACGUCUUGGGCGACAAACACGCUACAAUGGCCGGUACAAAGGGCAGCCAACUCGCGAGAGGGAGCAAACCCCAUCAAAGCUGGUCUUAGUUCGGAUUGCAGGCUGAAACUCGCCUGCAUGAAGUCGGAAUCGCUAGUAACGGUGGGUCAGCUAUACUACCGUGAAUACGUUCCCGGGUCUUGUACACACCGCCCGUCAAACCAUGAAAGUGACCAACACCCAAAGUCUGAGCUUUGACUCAGCCUAAGGUGGGGGGCAUGAUUGGGGUU